UUAACACAUGCAAGUCGAACGCCCCGCAAGGGGAGUGGCAGACGGGUGAGUAACGCGUGGGAACAUACCCUUUCCUGCGGAAUAGCUCUGGGAAACUGGAAUUAAUACCGCAUACGCCCUACGGGGGAAAGAUUUAUCGGGGAAGGAUUGGCCCGCGUUGGAUUAGCUAGUUGGUGGGGUAAAGGCCUACCAAGGCGACGAUCCAUAGCUGGUCUGAGAGGAUGAUCAGCCACAUUGGGACUGACACACGGCCCAAACUCCUACGGGAGGCAGCAUUGGGGAAUAUUGGACAAUGGGCGCAAGCCUGAUCCAGCCAUGCCGCGUGAGUGAUGAAGGCCUUAGGGUUGUAAAGCUCUUUCACCGGAGAAGAUAAUGACGGUAUCCGGAGAAGAAGCCCCGGCUAACUUCGUGCCAGCACCCGCGGUAAUACCAAGGGGGCUAGCGUUGUUCGGAAUUACUGGGCGUAAAGCGCACGUACGCGGAUAUUUAAGUCAGGGGUGAAAUCCCAGAGCUCAACUCUGGAACUGCCUUUGAUACUGGGUAUCUUGAGUAUGGAAGAGGUAAGUGGAAUUCCGAGUGUAGAGGUGAAAUUCGUAGAUAUUCGGAGGAACACCAGUGGCGAAGGCGGCUUACUGGUCCAUUACUGACGCUGAGGUGCGAAAGCGUGU
rnacentral:rRNA from 1 species